rnacentral:tRNA from 1 species
UGUUCUGUGGUUUAGUUGGUGUAAGCGCCAGACUAGCUAUUCGGAUUUGUGGGUUCGAAUCCCACCAAAACAA